UCGCGACGCGGGGCCGCCACCGCCGCCGGGCCGAGGGAGGGCCCGGCAACCGCCGCCUGCGCGCCGGCUGCCCCUCGGCUCCUGGGAGCCGCGGCGCUACGGGCCUGCCGAGCACUCGGGCGGGCGCCGAGCAGGCUGGGCCCCGGCGCAGUGGCCUAGCCUGGACCGCAAGGCCGAAGCCGCCUCCGGGCCGCGUCCCGGUGUUUCGGGUUGUGUAACCUUGGCCAAAAUGCUUAAGCUUUUUUCCUGGCUGCCAAAUGGGGCCGAUCGUCUGACCUGCUGCCUCCGGAACUUGAGGGAUCAGAUCAAAUAACCCUUUCCUGGCGCUCGUCUGCCGCUGUGAAUGAAUCACGGGCUCCUGUAAUCACCGUUAGGAGAGAUUGUUAAACUCGUACAGGGUUGGAUGUUUUAAAGUUACUGAAUAUUUACUGGACCCCUACUGUUCAAUCAAGACAUGCUAAGUUAGCUUGCCAUUCUUGUUCAUUUAUGUGUUUACUUAACUAUUUCUGGGUCUCCUCUUCCCAGUCAUAAAUAUCUCUUGGAGUGUAAGCUCCUCGGAGCAGAGAUCCUGUUUCCGUAUUUCCUGUACCUAGAACAGUGCCAGAUCCGUAGUAGACACUGAAACAAAAAAUCUUUAAAAAAAAAAAAAUAUACGAAUGUGGCACCACCAUUUACACAGGCCACUAAGCCAAAAAUCUCGAACUUGUCAGAUUGUCUCUUCUCAGCCAUCAGCAGUCAACAAGUUCUAGCAUUUGGUCUCUUAAAAGUGGUUCAAGAGUUUAUUUUUCCUCUCCUUCCUCUGCCAGUACCAACCAGUCUUCCGUAUCACUAUGUAUUGCAAGAGUCUCACAAGAAGAUAUCCAUCACUGACUGAUCUUCCUCCCGUUUAACAUCCCCAACAGGUGCCAGGGUGAUGUUUUUUUUAUUCUAAAAAGAAACCAGAUUAUAUCGCUCACUCCCUUGCUUAAAACAGUUCUUCAAUGUUAGGUAAAUAAAUCAUGGAGUCACCACGAGGGCGUUCAUCUGCCAGGCACUAUUCUGAACGAUAUUGGCUCAUUAAAUUCUCACAGAAACCCUAUGCAGCAGGUACGGUGAAAAUGUUCCUGUUACAGAUGAGGUAACUGAAGCACAGAGAGCUUGAGUGGCUUGCUGAAACACCAGACCCACUCAGUCUGGCUCCAUAAUAGGUCUUUUUGCUGGUAAUGAUUUACCAACUAUACAGCCACUUUAAAAAAAGGAAAUAGGGCCCUUGUGACUGGACCUCAUGCCAAACAACUCGUUACAAAAAGAGCUAGGGUUCCAGACUGCGCCGAAGCUUCAUGAGACCUCUCCUUGUCUGCAUGGACGAGUGGCCAACUCUGGAGCCCAGGCUGUUGCUUCCCAGUCUGGUGGUGAAUCCUCCAUAGUCUGGUGAGUGUAAAUACAUAUAUAUAUCUUUUCCCUUCUCCCUUCCCAUUGCAAUUUGCUUAUUAUAUCAUUUGCUUAUAUCUGCACUGCCAUUUGGGAUAAAGCUUGUUUACCCUUAAAGGUAUUGUGUGUGUGUCUCCUCCCGCGCGCAUUUCCCACACAGAACACCUAAGAACCUAUUUUUUAUGAUUUUUACGAGAAGUGAAUUCCAAGUUGUGCCUCAGAAUUCAGAAUAUAUCUUUCAACCUCCUACUCAUCCCCUCACCACCCUGGUGAACACAGUGUCUGGCCAGCAGGAAUGAAUGAAGAAGACUAUUUUAUGUUCUUAAUAACUUGCUUGGAAAUGAACAGAGCACAAUUUAUCAAACCAAAGCAAAUAUUUAUACAGGCAGAUCCCUUAAAAUUGAGGAUUAAUGCUUAGGAAGAAUUUUUUAGAAUUUUCCAAAUUAACCACUUGUCUUUCUCAGAAAUAAAUCUGUUACUGAUGCUUCCUCCACCAACCAGCUGCAAAACCACACACUAUUCUUUGAAGGAGGAA
rnacentral:lncRNA from 1 species